GAAGUUCCUGGGCCAGGGAGCAAAUCCAAGCUGCAGCUGUGACCUACACUGCAGCUUUGGCAACGCUGGAUCCUUAACUCACUGUACCACAGCAGGAACUCCAAAGGUCUUUAAUUUUUAAUUGGGCUUCUUUGGCCACAGCUACCAGAUGGUUUCUAGGCUUGAGGUGGGAGUGUUAAAAGAAUUCAGUGAAUUCCUUCUACGAGGAAUACUUAAAGGCCAAUUUUCCAUUCUUCCAAAGAGACUGUAACUACUCUAUUCCCACUUUCAUGCACUCUGCUUUAACCUUGCUGAACUCCUAAUCAUAGAAAAAAUUAAUCUCUGGAUGGUUUGAAACAGAUAAAGUAGGUAAAAGGAGGGAAAAGAUGAAGGCUUUUUAGAGGAUUUUCAUGAUAAUCUCUACCAAUUUCUCCACUGGACUCUGGCCAUUUGCUCUAUUUUAGAUGUUUAUUCACUGGUUAGAGAAUAUGAUUUUUCAGUCCCUUUUCUUCUACAAAGCAAUAAAGGACAGUCCAAAUGAUCAAGCUUUGAAACCACAAAUAAGAGCAACACCAUGGAAUUCCCGUUGUGGCUCAAAGGUAAUGAAUCCGACUAGUAUCCAUGAAGACACGGGUUCGAUCCCUGGCCUCGCUCAGUGGAUUAAGGAUCCAGCGUUGCCGUGACCUGAGGUUUAGGUUGCAGAUGUGGCAUGGAUCCCAUGUUGCUGUGGCUGUGGUGCAGGCCAGCAGCUGUAGUGCCAAUUUGAUACCUAGCCUGGGAACUUCCAUAUGCCACGUGUGUGGCCCUAAAAAGCCAAAAAUAAAAAAAAAUUUAAAAAUAAAGCAAAACCAGGCAUAAGCCUGGACAUUGCCAUUACUUCUCUGUCCCAUCAGUCAGAGGGAGCUGACUGGGAACUGCUUAUUUUACAAGCUUAGUAAUGGAGAACUAAUGAAAGAGUCAGGUCAAUGGCAAGCUACUGGGAAAUGAAGUCCAUCCCUCACAAUGUUCUAAACUUGGAACAAACCUAUCCUGGUACUUACAGAACAAAGAAGGUCUGAAAAACAGGUUUGCUCUCCAUGCUGCCCCUCUAAACUAUUCAUUGCUCCAGCAAUAAUGGCUUAUUUCUAAAAAAUACAAUGCUGAGCACAGAGUAGGCCUUCAGCAAUGGUCAGUGGCAAAUGAUCUGCUAGAUGGGAGAGAAGUCCAAAUAGCUACAGGCUGUUUUUCUAGCAAAUGUAAACUGAGGCCUCCCUCUCAUCAUCCAUGGAGAACAACAUAACAAGUGAAAUAUACCAUUUCUCAGCCAGGAAGGCUGGAGCCUUUUUCCUCCUACUACCCAGUAAACAUCCUUAAACUCAAAGGAAGAUAUCCUUUCCUAUAAAAAUGAGAAUGACCUUUUCAGAGCAUUGCCUAACCUCCUUUUCUGGAUUUGCAAUAGGGUUGAAAGGCUCUAUAAACAUUGGCAAGAGAAUGAAGAGAAACUGGAGGUGUGACCUACCAUUUUUUUCUAAAAGGACCUAAUCAAACUUCCCUCUUUUCCAGAACUAGUUAUAUGUUUCCCAGUGAGGAACAAAUCUCUUUUCUCCUAGAAGCAAUAAAGGUCUCUCCCUAACCCUGCAAUCCCAUCAGUCCAAGGACAGACUCUCAGUGAUAUCCUCAUAAUUAAGAUAAGUAGUGGUCAGGGUCUGAACAGCUCCUAAGGGGAAUUCUGAUGGUAGAGAAGCAAAAAGCCAAUUUUUCCUCCAUAAACCAUAUUUAUUCUUCCAAAUUCAGGACUAGUUAUAGUUAAACAAGAAGCACUGUAAAGAUGUUCUCCAAAAAAAGACCUUGGUGGGUCACAGUCUGGAUCUAGUAGUGUGCCUGGGCCCCAAAAAAGUCUCAACCAAUAGCUAGUAAGAUUCAAAAUGACAUGGAGUUCCCACCACGGUGCAGCAGAAAUGAAUCCAUGAACCAUGAGGUUGCGGGUUCAAUCCCUGGCCUUGAUCAGUGGGUUAAGGAUCUGGUGUUGCCAUGACCUGUGGUGUAGGUUGCAGAGAUGGCUUGGAUCUGGCGUUGCUAUGGCUGUGGCGUAGGCCGGCAGCUGUAGCUUGCAUUAGACUCCUAGCCUGGGAACCUCCAUAUGCCAUGGCUGUCCAAAACAAUCUAAGCAGACAUACAGAGUGAUCUCUGAACAGCCAAAUUCAAAGUCUUGCUGAGCUAUUUUCAGCACUUGUUUACAUCUCAGAAGACAAGAAGAAACAAUAAGAUUCCUGAACUCCAAGGUUAACUAGUACCCAGAGAAAAUCUUUAGCUUCCUUCAGAUGUUAUCUAUUUAACCUUCUCUUAUUUAGGACAUAUGCUUGGUCCAUGUUCAGAGGGACACAGCCUAAAAGAGGCAUGGUGACCAAGCAGAUAGUUAAAUAUCAGGACAAAAUAUCCGCCAUCCAAGAGCUUCAUGUUUCAAUUCUUGCUGUUUUAAGAGAGUGGGAGAUUGAGUAUUUGUAAAUGAUCAAUGUAUGGCUGGGACCUGGGCCCAAGAAUAGAAGGAAAAAAAAUGGGAAAAGAGAAGAGCAAUCUUUUAGUGAAUUAUCUUAAAAAAUACAUGCUCACUAUAACAUAGCAUUUCCAAAUCCAUUUAAGACUUUCCUCUGAAAAAAAGGGGAAUGAAAGAUGAAAAUGAAAUAACUGAGAAAAGAGAAAGGAAGGAAGGAAAGAAGGAAGGAAGGAAGAGAAAAGUAAAAUGAACAAUAUAUCUGAAUCGUUAAUGCAAGGAAAGGUUCUUUGAAAAGUGUAUGAAAUUUUAAAAAUUUAGCUGAGUAACUCAGGGUAACUAAUAUUUUAAAGCAGUUCAGGACUCCUACUUCCAUUCAUGAUGACGUAACUGCAAACUGGGAAAGAAAUAACUUUUUACACAUUGUAUAACAGACAAUGCAGGACAGGAAAUCUGAGGGAACGAAAACAUAAGGUGAGCAUGAAGAUCUUACUGGGCUAAGAAGACAAGAGUUUGGAGAGGCAGAGGCGGCUGGCACCUGUGAGGCAGAUUACCAAACAGGAGGGAGCUGGGCAAAGAAAAGAACUUCAGGAGAUCCUGUCGUGGCUCAGUGGUUAACG
ensembl:lncRNA